UGAGUGACACGUGAGAAUCUCGCCUGUUGGUCGGGGAUAACAGUUGGAAAAGAAAGCUAAUACCGGAUGAGCCUGAGGGUAAAAGAUUUAUUGCCAACAGAAGAGCUCGCGCCUGAUUAGCUAGAUGGUGGGGUAAAAGCCUACCAUGGCGACGAUCAGUAGCUGGUCUGAGAGGAUGAGCAGCCACACUGGGACUGAGACACGGCCCAGACUCCUACGGGAGGCAGCAGUGGGGAAUUUUCCGCAAUGGGCGAAAGCCUGACGGAGCAAUACCGCGUGAGGGAGGAAGGUUCUUGGAUCGUAAACCUCAAAACUUAGGGAAGAAACAAAUGACGGUACCUAAUAUAAGCAUCGGCUAACUCCGUGCCAGCAGCCGCGGUAAUACGGAGGAUGCAAGCGUUAUCCGGAAUUAUUGGGCGUAAAGAGUCUGUAGGUGGCACUUCAAGUCUGCUGUCAAAGACCGAAGCUUAACUUCGGAAAGGCGGUGGAAACUGAAGAGCUAGAGUAAAGCAGGGGUAGAGGGAAUUCCCAGUGUAGCGGUGAAAUGCGUGGAGAUUGGGAAGAACACCAGUGGCGAAGGCGCUCUGCUGGGCUUUAACUGACACUGAGAGACGAAAGCUAGGGUAGCGAAAGGGAUUAGAUACCCCUGUAGUCCUAGCGGUAAACGAUGGAUACUAGGCGUAGACCCAUUAUGGGGCUGUGUCGAAGCAAACGCGUUAAGUAUCCCGCCUGGGGAGUACGCACGCAAGUGUGAAACUCAAAGGAAUUGACGGGGACC
rnacentral:rRNA from 1 species